GUGUAUUCUGUCAACAAGAAAUCUCUGCUUGGUUCCACCACACGGAGGAGAUACUUCUCUGGACUCAGAGGGAGCCGGAGUAAAGGCCAGAGAGAGAGAGAGAAAGGGAAAUAUCACGUCCUUUAGCAGGAGGGUCAUUACGAACGCUGCAUGCGCUUUCUUGAUAUGAGAAGAUGGAGGAAAGCAGAAGGUAAUGCAAUCAGCAAAUGGAAGUCCCUGAAUCGCCCAUCCCCUUCCCUAACAGUGCUGAGGGGAGGAAGGUCAGAGAGCACGGCGAGACAGGGAUGAAGCAAGUGCAAGAGGAAGGAGACAAGGGCAAAUGUGAAAAUGACACCUGAAAAUGCCAGACGACUAAGGACGGUACCUCUUGUGACAGGUGAAACUUUACAAAUCACCUGCUGCUGUGGUCAUUUGGUACUCAACAGGUCUAGAUGCUUCCUGAAAUAACAGCCAUCGUAUAUAUAGUCACAAAACUGAAGUUUGAGUUAACAGAUGCAUUUUGGAUGGU